UACUAGUAGUACACAGUACUACUAUUACUGCUAGUACUAGUAGUACACACUAGUCUGUACUACUAGUUGUACUAGUACAACUACUAGUAG
rnacentral:tRNA from 1 species